GGGGUAACCUUCGGGAGCCAGCCGUCUAAGGUAAAGUCGAUGAUUGGGGUGAAGUCGUAACAAGGUAGCCGUAUCGGAAGGUGCGGCUGGAUCACCUCCUUUCUAGGGAGA
rnacentral:rRNA from 1 species